CCUACGGGAGGCAGCAGUGAGGAAUAUUGGUCAAUGGGCGCGAGCCUGAACCAGCCAAGUCGCGUGAGGGAUGAAGGCCCUACGGAUUGUAAACUUCUUUUAUAAGGGAAUAAAGUGAGGCACGUGUGCCUUUUUGUAUGUACUUUAUGAAUAAGGAUCGGCUAACUCCGUGCCAGCAGCCGCGGUAAUACGGAGGAUCCGAGCGUUAUCCGGAUUUAUUGGGUUUAAAGGGAGCGUAGAUGGGUUUUUAAGUCAGUGGUGAAAGUUUGUGGCUCAACCGUAAAAUUGCAAUUGAAACUGGCAGUCUUGAGUACAGUUGAGGUAGGCGGAAUGCGUGGUGUAGCGGUGAAAUGCUUAGAUAUCACGCAGAACCCCGAUUGCGAAGGCAGCUUACUAAACCGCGACUGACACUGAUGCUCGAAAGUGUGGGUAUCAAACAGGAUUAGAUACCCUAGUAGUC
rnacentral:rRNA from 1 species